rnacentral:rRNA from 1 species
AGCUCCAAUAGCGUAUACUAAUGUUGUUGCAGUUAAAAAGCUCGUAGUCGGAUUUCAGUUUAUUUGUUCGGUGGUUUUCAUACUACCUUGCGGAUUUACUUUUUGACGGAAGCUUUCAUGCCAUUAAUUUGGUGUGGAAUGUGACCGUCUCUUUUACUUUGAGAAAAUUAGAGUGUUCAAAGCAGGUGAUUUGCCUGAAUAUUACUCUUGGAAUAAUAAUAUAGGACUCGCGUGUCUUAGUUUGUUGGUGAUCUGGGACCGGAGUAAUGAUUGAUAGGGACAGUUGGGGUCAUUCAUACUGCAAAGCGAGAGGUGAAAUUCUUGGACCUUUGUAUGAUGAACAACUGCG